rnacentral:rRNA from 1 species
GACGAACGCUGGCGGCGUGCCUAAUACAUGCAAGUUGAGCGCUGAAGGUUGGUACUUGUACCAACUGGAUGAGCAGCGAACGGGUGAGUAACGCGUGGGGAAUCUGCCUUUGAGCAGGGGACAACAUUUGGAAACGAAUGCUAAUACCGCAUAAAAACUUUAAACACAAGUUUUAAGUUUGAAAGAUGCAAUUGCAUCACUCAAAGAUGAUCCCGCGUUGUAUUAGCUAGUUGGUGAGGUAAAGGCUCACCAAGGCGAUGAUACAUAGCCGACCUGAGAGGGUGAUCGGCCAAAUUGGGAAUGAGACAAGGCACAAACUACUACGGGAGGCAGCAGUAGGGAAACUUCGGCAAUGGAUGAAAGACUGACCGAGCAACGCCGCGUGAGUGAAGAAGGGUUUCGGAUCGUAAAACUCUGUUGGUAGAGAAGAACGUUGGUGAGAGUGGAAAGCUCACAAAGUGACGGUAACUACACAGAAAGGGACGGCUAACUACGUG